GGGCCCGCACAAGCGGUGGAGUAUGUGGUUUAAUUCGAUGCAACGCGAAGAACCUUACCAGGGUUUGACAUCCUGCGAAUCUCUUGGAAACAGGAGAGUGCCUUCGGGAACGCAGUGACAGGUGGUGCAUGGCUGUCGUCAGCUCGUGUCGUGAGAUGUUGGGUUAAGUCCCGCAACGAGCGCAACCCACGUCUUUAGUUGCCAGCAUUCAGUUGGGCACUCUAGAGAGACUGCCGGUGAUAAACCGGAGGAAGGUGGGGACGACGUCAAGUCCUCAUGGCCCUUACGGGAUGGGCUACACACGUGCUACAAUGGCAGUGACAAUGGGUUAACCCCAAAAACUGUCUCAGUUCGGAUUGGAGUCUGCAACUCGCCUACGUGAAGCGGAAUCGCUAGUAAUCG
rnacentral:rRNA from 1 species